CUCAAACUCGAGGUUGGUCGGGGUCGAAGCCAAUGCUUCUUCUAAGCUGUUGGCUUCAUAGCUUUCCACUAAAACUCGAUCCAGUCUCAGCUUCAUGAACGUAAUCCAGGAACUAUUGGUUGAAACAAGAGCAACGGCAGGUCUCUGCAAUCUCUUUGUGAUAUUAGGAAACUUGUCCAAGAACUUAGGCUCAAUGACAAGCCAAAAGUCCUGCUCCUUGUUACGCUCGCCAUAGUACCGAAGCCGCUCGAACAGG
rnacentral:misc_RNA from 1 species